rnacentral:misc_RNA from 1 species
AUCAUACUUUCAAUAUCCGGAGUAGAGGCAUGGCUGGAAAACUUGACAAUGCCAAUCCAGUGAUUUUUGAACAGAGCAAGGAGCGACAGGUCUUGCCUGAAGAGGAAGACGAUGAUGUUACCGAUAAAAUCGACGAUAGAGAAGUGUUUGAUAUGAUAAGAAACAUCAAUGACCCAGAACAUCCAUUGACACUGGAGGAGCUCAAUGUGGUAGAAAAUGCUCGAGUCAAAGUAAGAAAUACUUCCUAAUAAAAAAAACCCAGCUGCUUGUCUUGCACUGAGUCCUAAAUAUGUUUUGAAUUAAUUGUGCAAGGCAUUUUUUUCGAUUUUUGUAAAGCAUUUGAUUUUGAGUGAUUUUAAUAAACUACAAGGAAAACAAACCUGCUAUCUAUUGAUAUUGAUACAGUGUAUCAAAUGUUCACUUCUAAAAUAUAAUUAGUAUUAUUAGUGUAAUAAGCAUGCAUGUAUGCAUAAACUAUUUUCCUUCCUAAAGGUGGAUGAUGAGAAUAACUAUGUUGGCAUAGAAUUCACCCCCACUAUUCCACACUGCAGUAUGGCAACACUGAUAGGGCUGUCCAUAAGAGUCAAACUUCUUCGAUCUCUUCCACCACGCUUUAAGGUUGAUGUUUCUAUUACUCCAGGGACUCAUGCUUCUGAAGUUGCAGUAAACAAACAGCUGGCAGAUAAAGAGAGAGUAGCCGCAGCUCUGGAGAACUCUCAUCUGAUAGAGGUUGUCAACCAGUGCCUAGCAACAAGGAAGUGAUGUCACUCAGAUAUAGUGUCAUAAUCCAUUAACGAAUUAUAGUGACAUGGGAUUGGCAAUUAGAAAAUGAACCCACAGCAGUUUUGUUUUGUUCUGUAUAGUCUAGGUCAGAUGGCAGAGUGCAUUUUACAACAUGGUCGGUUUUUUUUUUACAAUUGACUGUCAGUUAUCUGUCAUCUGAGCCAGAAUACAAGACUUGUCUGCACAUGCUAAACUAUUACCUGUAUAUGUGUUGACAUAUUUUUAUUAUGUUGCUUUGAAUAAUUAAUACACGGAGUCAUCAUUUUACAUGAUUAUGCUUUUACUGCGUUUAAAAAACAAUCAUGUACAGGUAACUUAAACUUGUUUCUGCAAUUUAUACAAAUGUAUGCUAGUUGGCAUUGAUGCAUUGGUAAAUGGAACUAAUG